CAGCCGCCGCGGGAAAACGGAGGGUGCAAGCGUUAAUCGGAAUUACUGGGCGUAAAGCGCACGCAGGCGGUCUGACAAGUCAGAUGUGAAAUCCCCGGGCUUAACCUGGGAACUGCAUUUGAAACUGUCAGGCUGGAGUCUUGUAGAGGGGGGUAGAAUUCCAGGUGUAGCGGUGAAAUGCGUAGAGAUCUGGAGGAAUACCGGUGGCGAAGGCGGCCCCCUGGACAAAGACUGACGCUCAGGUGCGAAAGCGUGGGGAGCAAACAGGAUUAGAUACCCGUGUAGUCCCUGUCUCUUAUAC
rnacentral:rRNA from 1 species